UACGUAGGGAGCGAGCGUUGUCCGGAUUCAUUGGGCGUAAAGAGCUCGUAGGCGGCUUGAUAAGUCGGAUGUGAAACCUCCAGGCUCAACCUGGAGUCGCCAUCCGAUACUGUCAUGGCUAGAGUCCGGUAGGGGCCCACGGAAUUCCUGGUGUAGCGGUGAAAUGCGCAGAUAUCAGGAGGAACACCAAUGGCGAAGGCAGCUCGCUGGGACGGUAUUGACGCUGAGACGCGAAAGCGUGGGGAGCAAACAGG
rnacentral:rRNA from 1 species